GCGGUGGGUGGGAGGGGGGUUCCCACGCGAGCCCUGGUGCUAUGGAGAGCCGGCCGUCCUCCAGGGGUGAGCUGGGGAGGCUUCUGCGGUUCUGGAGUCCCGGCGAUGGCGCCAGUUCCCCAGCAAACCCCCUCCAGAGCUGCCCCCGGAUGCACAGACAAGGAGGGGGCUUGGGAGUUACUUGAGGCUGUGACGGGGUCGCCCUCGGUGUGGGCACGUGAGUCCUCUGUGGCCAAGAGGUCAGAGUCGUCCCUGAGGCUGAGUCAAACACAGACCCGUGGCCUUCAUAAAAUUAAACAUAAAAGCGCAAAAAUGGUGCAACCAGACAGCGUUGGCUUCAGACAGGCGGGACAUGGGGCCCCUCGUGUGACCUGUGACCUUCCACAAAGGGCAGGGACCUGGCACUGACUCCGGCCAGUGGAGAAGGCUGCGCCGCCCACCCGGCCAUGACUCAGACCCAGAGGCUGAAAGCCACAGACGGGGCCGCAGUGCAGCAGCUCCCGGGCUCUCGUGAAACACUUCAGAAGGAAAAAACCUAAGGAACAGAAUCCUGAAUGGAGAAAACCCAACUUUUUUAAAAAAGAAGAAAGUGUAUGAUGGGAAUCUACGGGGUGGGUUUUCUUUAAGAGGUGAGAACUUGGAAUCUUGCAAGCACUGGGAGUGGACUCCGGUGGCGGCGCAGACGCGGAGCAGGGAGCGUCCUUGGGCCACCUGUGGACAGGGAGGGGCGCUCAGACUGGACCCACCUCCCAGCGACCCACAGGCGGGACCCAGGAGCCCACACCUGGCUAGGAGAUCCCGCCCACCACACCUGGCUCAGGAGAUCCCGCCCACCACACCUGGCUCAGGAGUUCCCGCCCACCACACCUGGCUCAGGAGUUCCCGCCCACCACACCUGGCUCAGGAGUUCCCGCCCACCACACCUGGCUCAGGAGAUCCCGCCCACCACACCUGGCUCAGGAGAUCCCGCCCACCGCACCUGGCUCAGGAGUUCCCGCCCACCGCACCUGCCUCAGGAGAUCCCGCCCACCGCACCUGCCUCAGGAGAUCCCGCCCACCGCACCUGGCUCAGGAGUUCCCGCCCACCGCACCUGGCUCAGGAGGAGUUCCUCUGGCGGACGUUCUUGCCUUUGUCGUUCUGGUGCUGCCCGCUGCUCUUCCUGGGGCACGAGGGGCCGGGUGAGAGGGUGUCCCCCACAAAUCACCCUCUC
rnacentral:lncRNA from 1 species